rnacentral:lncRNA from 1 species
AUGGAGCAACCUUUGCAAACCCUUCAAGUGGGGUUUCACAAGAACCAGGGCCGGUUCCUCCACCCUGCCGGGCACCGUGGUGGGAAAAAUCCCCCCGGUGCUCCCGCAGCAACCAUGGCACUGGGUGCCAGGGACCUUCCCCGUCGGAGCCGAAAGUCUGGUGUGGGACGGAGGAAGCCGGUGGUGCCUGCUGCCAAGCACGCGCUGAGGAAAUGGGGAAUUUUCCAGGCUUGGUUCCCAGCCACCAGGAGGAACCCCAUCACCCUGCACUGCUGGAUGAUCCCCGCGGCCCCGCUAGGUGCUGGGCAGGGGGCAGAAGAGGUUUCCGUGCCGUGUGCCCACCCAAACUGGGGUCAACCCAAUCUGGGGGUCACCCCAAUCCCCGUGGCAAACACAGCAGGAGGAAAACUACGCAGGCACGGAGGGAAGCAGGCCCAGCUCCUGCGAUUCUCUCUCCUCCUGAGAGGUUCUUAUAUCCUUGCAGCUAAUUGCGGGCUCCUGCCAGGAGUGCGACUUGCACGGACAAGCCUCGGAGGGAGGAAGACCUGGGCUGGGAAGCAGAUCCGUAGGAGGAAGCAGCAUUCUUUUCCCACGUCCAGGAGCAGCCAGUUGCCGUUUUUCCCACAUUGCUGUUUCACUCAAGACCCAGGACUGAGAUCAUCACCAAGUGAGAAUUUUUUGAUUUCCUACGCACGCAACGUGGCUCGAGGCUUCCUGAUUUUAAGUCCGAACCACUGCUCACAGCACAGAAAGCGUUCAAGCUGA